rnacentral:rRNA from 1 species
UGGCGGACCGGGUGAGUAAUGUCUGGGAAACUGCCUGAUGGAGGGGGAUAACUACUGGAAACGGUAGCUAAUACCGCAUAACGUCGCAAGACCAAAGAGGGGACCGUUCGGGCCUCUUGCCAUCGGAUGUGCCCAGAUGGGAUUAGCUAGUAGGUGGGGUAACGGCUCACCUAGGCGACGAUCCCUAGCUGGUCUGAGAGGAUGACCAGCCACACUGGAACUGAGACACGGUCCAG